GCAAAUAAACCUCAGCUUGAUCCUCACAGUGUCUAAAGUUGCAGGGGCUUGGGAGGUUAGGGUCACAGUCUCACUUGUCUGGCCCUCUCGCCCCCUAACAUUAGAAAUCUGCUAGCAUUAGCUUUCUCUCCAUUGCUCAUUCACCUUGGUGACCCAGGCAUCGGGCUCCUAGUCACUGUUCUCAUCAAGGACCAAGACACCAGAUACCCCAGGCCCCAGUU
rnacentral:lncRNA from 1 species